AGAGUUUGAUCCUGGCUCAGGAUGAACGCUAGCGGCAGGCUUAACACAUGCAAGUCGAGGGGCAGCAUAAUGGAUAGCAAUAUCUAUGGUGGUCGACCGGCGCACGGGUGCGUAACGCGUAUGCAACCUACCUUUAACAGGGGGAUAACACUGAGAAUUGGUACUAAUACCCCAUAAUAUCAUAGAAGGCAUCUUUUAUGGUUAGAAAAUUUCCGAUUGGGUUAGAGAUGGGCAUGCGUUGUA
rnacentral:rRNA from 1 species